GCGAGUGAAGCGGUAACAGCUCAAAUUUGAAAUCUGGCCUCACGGUCCGAGUUGUAAUUUGUAGAGGAUGCUUCGAGCAUGGUCUGGCCUAAGUUCCUUGGAACAGGACGUCAUAGAGGGUGAGAAUCCCGUAUGCGGUCAGGUGCCUACGCUCAUGUGAAGCUCCUUCGACGAGUCGAGUUGUUUGGGAAUGCAGCUCAAAAUGGGUGGUAAAUUUCAUCUAAAGCUAAAUAUUGGCCAGAGACCGAUAGCGCACAAGUAGAGUGAUCGAAAGAUGAAAAGCACUUUGGAAAGAGAGUUAAACAGUACGUGAAAUUGUUGAAAGGGAAGCGCUUGCAACCAGACUUGCGCGCGGCCGAUCAUCCGGUGUUCUCACCGGUGCACUCGGCCGUGCUCAGGCCAGCAUCGGUUUUGGCGGCUGGAUAAAGGCCCUAGGAAUGUAGCUCCUCUCGGGGAGUGUUAUAGCCUAGGGUGCAAUGCAGCCUGCUGGGACCGAGGACCGCGCU
rnacentral:rRNA from 1 species